rnacentral:rRNA from 1 species
AUGGUUUUGAAGGCAAAAUAUUAUCCCAAUGGUCACAUACUGGAUACGGUUUUCCCACAAGCCACGUCGGUGAAUUGGCAGGGUAUUAUCCAUGGAUUGGAACUAUUAAAGAAAGAGGUCAUAUGGAGAGUGGUCGAUAGCAACAAUGUUAACAUCUGGAAAGAUAAUUGGCUUCCAAGAAAUUCGGGCCUAAAAGCUAUAGCAAAAAGGAAGCGUACUAGACUGAAAUGGGUGUCGGAAUUAUUCAUGAGCGGGACUAAAACAUGGGAUGAAAAUUUGAUUAGGCAGCUAUUUUUUCACCAUGAUGCUGAGGAGAUCUUAAAGUUACGCAUUCAAUCCGUGGGGGAGGGGGAUCUUGUUGCUUGGCACUAUGAGAAAAGUGGUAUGUUCUCUGUUAAAAGUGCAUACAAACUGGCGUUAAAUCUCAAGGAUUGCAGCGAGGAGACAGGAAUUUCCAGCAGUGCGGUUAAUAAGGAAAGAAGAAUGUGGGAUGUUAUUUGGAAGGCUAAAGUCCCGCAAAAAAUUAGAAAUUUUGCUUGGAGAGCAGCGACCAACAGUUUGGCGGUACAGGUAAAUAGGGUAAACCAUCAUCAAACGGUCUUGGGUUUGUGCACUAUUUGUGGUGUUUAG